AUUGAACGCUGGCGGCAGGCCUAACACAUGCAAGUCGAACGGUAACAGGAAACAGCUUGCUGUUUCGCUGACGAGUGGCGGACGGGUGAGUAAUGUCUGGGAAACUGCCUGAUGGAGGGGGAUAACUACUGGAAACGGUAGCUAAUACCGCAUAACGUCGCAAGACCAAAGAGGGGGACCCUCGGGCCUCUUGCCAUCGGAUGUGCCCAGAUGGGAUGAGCUUGUUGGUGGGGUAACGGCUCACCAAGGCGGCGAUCCCUAGCUGGUCUGAGAGAAUGACAAGCCGCACUAGAACUGAGACACGGUCCAGACUCCUGCGGGAGGCAGCAGUGGGGAAUAUUGCACAGUGGGCGGAAGCCUGAUGCAGCCGUGCCGCGUGUAUGGAGAAGGCCUUCGGGUUGUAAAGUACUUUCAGCGGGGAGGAAGGGAGUAAAGUUAAUACCUUUGCUCAUUGACGUUACCCGCAGAAGAAGCACCGGCUAACUCCGUG
rnacentral:rRNA from 1 species